rnacentral:rRNA from 1 species
UAACACAUGCAAGUCGAACGAAGUAGCAAUACUUAGUGGCAGACGGGUGAGUAACAUGUAGGUAUNUNCCCUUUGGCCUGGAAUAACACGAGGAAACUUGUGCUAAUACCGGAUAAGUCUUUACGGAGAAAGCUUUAUGCACCAUUGGAUGAGCCUGCACUUGAUUAGUUUGUUGGUGGGGUAAUGGCCUACCAAGACUGUGAUCAAUAGCUGAUUUGAGAGGAUGAUCAGCCACAUUGGGACUGAGACACGGCCCAAACUCCUACGGGAGGCAGCAGUGGGGAAUCUUGCACAAUGGAGGAAACUCUGAUGCAGCGAUGCCGCGUGAGUGAAGAAGGCCCUUGGGUUGUAAAGCUCUUUCGUCGGGGAAGAAAAUGACUGU